rnacentral:tRNA from 1 species
GUAAACAUAGUUUAAAAAAAAUCCUAGCCUGUGACUCUAGAGAAGAAGACUAGCCCUCUUCUGUUUACC